UGGGGAAUAUUGGACAAUGGGGGGAACCCUGAUCCAGCAAUGCCGCGUGUGUGAAGAAGGCCUGAGGGUUGUAAAGCACUUUCAGAGGGGAGGAGGACUAUUAGGUUAAGAGCUAGAUAGUUGGACGUUACCCUCAGAAGCAGCACCGGCUAACUCCGUGCCAGCAGCCGCGGUAAUACGGGGGAUCCUAGCGUUGUUCGGAAUUAUUGGGCGUAAAGCGGGUGUAGGCGGACUUAUAAGUCAGGUGUGAAAUCCCAGGGCUCAACCCUGGAAGUGCACUUGAUACUGCAAGUCUUGAGUGUGGUAGAGGCUAUUAGAAUUCCUGGUGUAGUGGUGAAAUACGUAGAUAUCAGGAGGAACAUCAGUGGCGAAGGCGGCCCUCUGGUCCAGUACUGACACUCAAGUGCGAAAGCGUGGGGAGCAAACAGGAUUAGAUACCCCGGUAGUCCCUGAGCGGGCUGGCAAGGCGCAU
rnacentral:rRNA from 1 species